GGGGCUGUAGCUCAGUUGGGAGAGCACCUGGUUUGCAACCAGGGGGUCGAGGGUUCGAAUCCCUUCAGCUCCACAA
rnacentral:tRNA from 1 species